CUUUUAUAUUGAAGUAAUCCAUCUUCCCUAAGUGUGUCAGGGCCAGAAGCCUAAACCGGUGUACUAGGCAUGUGAAGGUUUGGCUAACAGUGACCUUAGUGGAGAACCUAUCAAAAGCUGCCUGUGGGGAGAGUCCGUUGGUAAUUUCAAACUAAGGCCUGGUCAUCUUUAACAGUUGUGCAAAAUGGUAAACAAGGCACUGCUGGGAGCAGUUGGGGAUGGUAAGAAUUGAUUAACAGGUUCCUGCGUGAGAGAUUUGAAAAAGAUAAUAAGAAAGCCUGGAUAGUCUCUCUUUUGGAAUCCUCAACCCAUCCCCACCCGUACCACAGUACAAGCCCAAGACACUUUCCUUUCUCUGCUCUCACAGCCAUUUUGGACCUGCUUGGGAACAGAAAGUCUCAUUAUAUCUUCCUCAGAAUCUCCCAGGAUGAACCAGAUCCUAAAAUGAGACCCUCCAAGUACUACUCCACUGAGAGCCCCAUGAUUUUCUUGGUGUGCUCUUUCCUUUGAAGCAGCAAGUUGACUCAACCUUGCUUGUUUGCCUGAAGGAAAGCAUGUGCAGACUGCCACCCCUGGGAUAGCCUACAGGAGGAUUUUCUCAAAG